CUCCACGCCCCAUUCCGCUGGCGGCGAGCGGCCAAGCGCGGCCGCCCGGCUGACUCCGCUGCACUGGCUCGGGGUUCGGGGCCGCCGCAAGACUGGCUCCUUGAGAGCUCCCGGGGGUCCUCGUGCAUCCAGCCUACAGACUGGCGCUCCGCCGGAAUCCGGCGCCACAGUGGGAGGGCGCGCCCUGGGGUCUGCGGCCUGAGCAUCUGUUGGCUUGUGGUCAGUGUCACGCUCUUGGUCCGAAGGAAGACUGUCCUUUGGACAUCAGUCACCUGCACACAGUCAGAUGGCCCUUCCCCCCAUCCCCAACCCGGAUUCUCGACCUCCUGAUGCUGGAAAAGUAGGAGGCGUAGGGGGAGACGCUGGCGGAGAUGCUGGAGUCCUCACGACUUAGAUUCCGGGUCGGGGGUCUGAUCUGAUGCUUUCUGGGAGCCGGCGGGGACCCUCCCUGUUUACCCCAGGGAGCGGAAGUCUGACCCCUGGCGAGGCUCAGCCCGGGUCUCCUGGGCCGGCCGCGCGCCAGGAGAGCCACCUCCCAGUGUGGCUUCAGGGCCACUUGUCCCAGCCAGCCCUCACAAACCGGGAAUCUGGGAACCACGUUCCAGUGCUGGUGAUGCCAACAGAACUGUGUCCACCAUCGCAGAAAUAUUUGCUUCUUUCUUCGGAAAAGAUUCGUCUGGGAGUUUCUGGAGUUGGAGAGGGGAGGUCAGGAAGACAGCUGAGCAGCAACGCUGGCCGAUCGGAAGAUGUCUUCCUGGGGUGACCAGGAAAUAGGAGGAUGGCCUUCUGACCUGCAGAGGUCAGUGAAGGCUGAGUACCGGGGAGUCCAGGCCACACGGAGACAGCAAUGUUUACCCUGCUUCCUGCUUGUAGAAACUUCACAGAUGCCAGCAGCCAUCUCUGCAAAUGGCAGACCUGCCAAGUUCCAGUUAAAACUGUCCUUAUAGUGUUUAUAAAAUCCCACCAUGCAUGUAUUUGGGGAUGUAAUGCCCCCUGAUUCAUGGGAACUUCAAGGACAGUGUACGUGAGGGAGCAAGGAACAGGAUAAAGUGAUGAAUGGGUGUUUGGAGGGCCCCUCGUGCUGGUGGGAGGAACCAGCGUGAAGGAGGCAGAGGGGGGCGCUUCCCCUUGGGGCUGUGGGGUCACAUUUCACAUGAAGAUGGUCUUGCGUCUGUGAGCACAGUAACAGAGGUUUAUGUUAUUCGUUUCAAUAAAAUUGAAGUGGAUCUUCUGACAGGUAAAAGAUAAA